AUACUGAUAUUUUAAAUCAGUAACUCGCAAGUGAUCUCAAUCGAUAAGUUUUCGCUAUCGCUUUAAUGUGGGAACAUAUGUACAUUGUAUAUUCUAUAAUGAAAGUAAAGAACAUAAAAAAUCAAACUUCGUAUAUUUGUGGCAAUCGUUCGAAGAAAUGUUCAAUUUUAAGACUUUUGAUAUGCCCUUUGAAAUCACUUCCCUAGUGUUUAGAAAUGUGUAGUAUUUACACGAAUCAGGUGAAACAUAUCUCUUCUAAACCGAUGACUAAAACAUACAAAUAGCGUCCACCAGGAUGAUUACUAGCCGAGAGUACUAUUAAUGCGAGUUGUUUUGUUUAUUCCACUUUAAGAUUCCUGUAGUGGUAUAAAGUAAGUGCCGGCCCUUCUCCAUCUUGUGUAAAAAGUUUUUUGACAAACUGUACAUACUGUCAGUAUCGAAGGAACGCGGUGUCAUUUGGUGACUAUCCAGGUGAGUACAACCCCAAGGUGCACGGGCCCUAAGACCCCGCUCGCUUCUACGGUAAAGCCUGGCUGGGACGCCGCAACAAGACGCCCAACGCUGUGGCCGGAGCCGUGAACCGUGCAUGCUGGCGCUGGCAGUACAACUACGUGUUCCCGAAGCGCGCCGUGAUCGCUCCCUUCUUCCAGCUGACCGUCGCCAGCAUGACGUUCUUCUGUCUGAUUAACUACACCAAGUUGAAGCACCACAGGAACUACAAUACCACUAAGGGUCGCUGCCCAGUGGUCCUGCAUCUACAACAGAUUCUACACUUUCCACAAGACGUGCCAGAGGCGGGCAGCACUAAACUAUAUCUAUUUGGCUUUUGUGUUUUGAAAACUGCUAAAGUGAAUAAAAUGGCUGUGAAUAUCCAUGCUGCCAUAGACUCAG
rnacentral:lncRNA from 1 species